CUGUGGCAUCCAGCGGACAGACAGAAAGCUCUGGAGAGCUCCACACUCUCUCUGUGCGUCCUGGGGUCCAUGAGCAGUGCUACAGCGCCCACUAUUUCAACAAGCAGGAAUAUGAUUUCACAAGACCUGGAACCACUCAAUAAAAAAGUUACUAUCCCUUUCGACAACUCUUUGCUAACUUUCGUGUAACAAUUCUCUACGGUUUCUCGACCUCGCUAAAACAAGAGAUUGAACCAACACGGCAUGGAAAGGCUCUCCUGACCAUUUCAGCCCAAGCACCAUCACAUAUAGCUACGACAUUUCUGAACAAGCACACCACGGUCGGCAGCAUCUGGUCUGAAGGGUGGACGCGCGGAUCACGGAGAGUUUGAGCGAUUUCACUGCAACUGAGAGCUGGAAAACACACGCACCGGACAAAGACGCGCUCUCGGCAGGAACUGAUCAAUGAAAAUGACACCUUGGUGAUGUGCGCGAGGGUUCAAAGUACCGGGAGCGAAAGAAGCGCAAGAAGGACCUACUUUUGGCCAGUUUUCUCGCCCUCGCCUUGGAUCUCAUCUUGUCGGCUUGUAGAUUCCUCGCGUCCUCCUUGAGCUCAGAAGCAGAAGCAGCGCUAUCUUCAUCUCACGAGCAUUGUCAGUUUGGACACCUUCGCACAUGCGCACAGGCCAUUCAAUCUGACACCCUCGUCAGGGCCAAAAAACUUUCCAAUGUAUUCAUCAUCAUCACUUUUUGUCCUAUCGUGUCUCCUUUAGAUCACUUAUCUCUUUCCCUCCUCCUCCCCUCGCUCCGCAACAUCUCAGAUCUCCCCCCACCUCCCCUUCUUGAGCACUUGAGAAGGAAGAAGUGCUAUUUUUCAGGGACCUGCGGAAUCCGGUGCGACACUGGACACUGGAUCCUGGAUGAGGUCAAGGUCGCAGCUCUCAUACGCAAGAUUGUUGCCAUUUUCCUGUGGUUUAGCACAAGAAGGGAGGGAUGCUGGCCCAGACCCCGGAAGAGAGGUGUUCUGCAAACCAGGCCUCAGUAACAUCCACCUUGAGAACUGAUGUCAGUGACGGAGUUUGUGUCCUCUUAGUUAAUUAAGGACAGAAUUUAAGAGGUUUGUCAACUGAGUAUCAAAUCAAUCACUAGCCUAAAUCAAUUCCUGUAAUUUUAAACGUAUUAACCCACUAUAGCUAUAUGUUUGAAUAUGUCACAGUUGUUUGUUUGUAUGUAUACAGUUGUAAAUUGAUUUUUAUUCAGUUCACUAAGUCAAAUAAAAUGUAUUGAGGCACCAUUGCCUCAUUGUCACUG